UAAUACAGAGGGUGCGAGCGUUAAUCGGAGUUACUGGGCGUAAAGGGCGCGUAGGCGGUUCGUUAAGUGAUAUGUGAAAUCCCUGGGCUUAACCUAGGAACUGCAUGUCAUACUGGCGAGCUAGAGUAUUGUAGAGGGUAGUGGAAUUUCCGGUGUAGCGGUGAAAUGCGUAGAGAUCGGAAGGAACACCAGUGGCGAAGGCGGCUACCUGGACAAAUACUGACGCUGAGGCGCGAAAGCGUGGGGAGCAAACAGGAUUAGAUACCCUGGUAGUCCACGCUGUAAACGAUGAAAACUAGAUGUUGGGCAGCAUGACUGUUUAGUAUCGAAGCUAACGCGAUAAGUUUUCCGCCUGGGGAGUACGGCCGCAAGGCUA
rnacentral:rRNA from 1 species